AACGAACGCUGGCGGCAGGCUUAACACAUGCAAGUCGAGCGCACUCUUCGGAGUGAGCGGCGGACGGGUGAGUAACGCGUGGGAACGUGCCCUUUGCUACGGAAUAGCCCCGGGAAACUGGGAUUAAUACCGUAUACGCCCUAUGGGGGAAAGAUUUAUCGGCGAAGGAUCGGCCCGCGUUAGAUUAGGUAGUUGGUGGGGGUAAUGGCCUACCAAGCCGACGAUCUAUAGCUGGUUUGAGAGGAUGAUCAGCCACACUGGGACUGAGACACGGCCCAGACUCCUACGGAAGGCAGCAGUGGGGAAUCUUAGACAAUGGGGGAAACCCUGAUCUAGCCAUGCCGCGUGUGUGAUGAAGGCCCUAGGGUCGUAAAGCACUUUCGCCUGGGAAGAUAAUGACGGUACCAGGUAAAGAAACCCCGGCUAACUCCGUG
rnacentral:rRNA from 1 species